AGACCAGUGGUCUAGCGGUUAGGAUGCUACUCUUAUAUGUAUAUCCCAUUUAAAAUGGGAAUAUGUAUGGAGCUAUGUAGCGAUCCCGGUUCGAUUCCGGGCUGGUCUA